UUUUCCAAGACCUUGUGCUGUGCGUCAUGGGCAGAAGCUAGCUUCAAAAAACAGAAGCAUGAGUGCUGCCAACAUUGCUUUACAGGUGGCAGAAGAAGAAGGUCAGAUUGUUAGUGUUCAGACCAUUUGCCGCACACUGCAACAAUUUGUUUUUUCUAAAAGGAAUUCUCUUCUAAAGCUAGCUUACAAUAAAGCAAACAAACCGUUUGCUUAAGACAACCUGUCCAAGAGAAUGAAUUACUGGAACCAUCUCAUGUGGUCUGAUGAAACAAAACUUAAACAUUAACUUGUUUGGCUCAAAAGGUGUCCUGCAUGUCUGGAGAUGGCCAUGCCAACCGAAUUGUUGCGAUGUGCAGCGUAUGGUCUGAGCACCGACAAUCUUACCGAUUUCCAAUAAUGGAAAAUAUGCUUUUAUCUAAUUUUCAGGGUAAAUUUGUACAUAAAAUGAGGGUAAUUCAUAUGUUAUCAUUAUAUAAUAUUGGGUUAAAGAAAAUUUAUAAUGACAAUUACCAAUGGCUACUUCAACAUGAAAAGCAUAGUAACCAAAUAUAUUUUUGUUAUUUAUUUUAAUGUGGGGAUGUGUUGUGCAAAGGGUUAAUUUGUAUUCUGAGUCUCACAUAAAGGGUGUGGCCGAACUGGGAAGUUUCUGGAAAGAAGCAUUUCACCCUCAGACACCACUUUUAAAACAAUGAUAUUCUACAUAUUAUUAAAGAUCCCUGUACCCUGAUACAUUUAUUCUUAAAAAUUGUGGUAAAGCGUAUUUUUUUGAAAAAAGUAAAGCUUUUUAACCCUCUCCUCAAGGUUUUUUCUCUGCUCUGCUGUUCUAUAUUAGCCUACUUGUGUCAAGAAAGUAGUUAACUAAAACUAAAAUAAAUCCUAUUGUGCUCCACACACUGUAAAAAAGUGUGGUUAGGCAAAAAGCAAGGGGUCACACGUACGCAUUUUUGAGAAAUGAUCGUGAGUAUAAAUUUAGGAUGAUUUCUACGCAGCAUUUUAGAAAUGAGGCCCCAGGGACAGCAGUGAAUAUAAAGUCAUCUCCUUUGGCCAGGAUUCAAGUAUGAACACUUUUAUCCAUGGCAAGAAAGAUGCCCAUGAUACAAAGAAAGAUUUAUUGACACAAGAAAAGCAUUAGAUGGAAAUAGAGCACUGAAUACACCAUUUAAACAUUUGAGCUUUUGUAAUAUGUAUAAGCUUUUGUUCUGUAAUAUGUGCACAACAUUUUCUUUAACCAGCAUUAAUACUACUAAGGUAUCUGAAUAGAUCUGUUAGGUCAGCUUUUAAUGUUGUGCUGUUGAUUACAAAAUUAUAGAAACACAAAUGCUUAGUAAAAUCUGCAAAACUGUUUUUUAAUCCCUCUAAUUUAUUCAUUACAUUUAUAGUACUGCAAUGUAUUUCACAUAACAUAUAUUUAUAAAUGAGAAGCUCAGAAGGCCUCUAAACUCCACCUCUGUUAAAAAUGAGAUGAUAAAAUUAACCAUAAACUCUUCUUGGUGCAUAUAUACGUUCAUCAAAUACUUUAAAUUCUGCUUAAUCCCAGCCUCAAGCCAUUCAGAAAUAUCGCUUUGUUGGCAGACCAAAAAAAGCUCAUUUACAAGAAAUAAUGUUUAUAUGCUUGAUUUCUUUACUGCAAGUUGUUUCCUGAUGUUUAUUGCUGUGUUUAGGUUUAAGUUGUUUAUAAGUCUUGUUGUGCCUUGUUGCUGCUUGGUGCUCACAAAACAAGUCACGGAAAGGGAAUGUGGCGUGUUAUGAGGCUGGCAAAGGAAACAACACUGAUAUUAUACAGCUAUUGUUUCCUGUCCUUUUAUCAACAAUUAGCUCAUAAUCUGUGAGUUUCACACAGCUCACUGAGGAAUGUGGUCCCACCAAAAGCACAAGGCUGAGAAGUAGUGCUUGUUUUUCCAUUACCAGCUAAGAAAUCUUAAAUAUAACAUGCAUGCUUGUCAGCUCAAGGAGUCAGGGGUAUGUUGAAAGCUGAAUUACUGAAGACAGAGAUGUUGGUUUUUAUUGAUUCACUUACUCCACUCAUCGAUCAUUUUCUGCUUCAAACCUGACUUGACCUCUAAUGCUUCACAUACGUUCAGCUGGCGUAUCUCAGGAAGUCAAGAGGAGGAGUUGAAAAUGAACCAAAAUAAAUCUAGCUGGCUGUCUGCCUGCUUCUCUCUGCAUUUGGCAGAAAGGAAAAUACGACAUCAAGGAGCUAAAUAACCCAUUUUCCUCUGGAGUAAACUCCAGCAGAUAUGAUGUAACCGCAAAGUGCAAGUGUUUGACUCAUAUGCUUUAAUGUCAUUUUGCUGCGUACAGUGUGUUUGUGUGUUUUAUGUUUUGUUACAUGGGGUUCUUG